rnacentral:lncRNA from 1 species
GUUGCUCAUUAUUUAAAAGAACCUUUAAAAGACAGUGGAAGAAUAUAUCGUUGUAAUGAAAUAGUGAAAGAUUUUAGACAGAGAUUCCAAGUUGAGAUAACCACUAGUCAAGCUUGGCGUGGAAAAAGUCUGGCACUAGAGCUUUUACAAGGAUCAAGCAGAGAGUCGUUCGCAGAACUACCACUUUACUGUUACAAUCUUGAGCGGGCAAAUCCUGGUUCUGUUACACAUAUCAAGACUGAUGACGAGCGUCGGUUUGAGAUGGUCUUUGUCGCGAUUGGUGCUGCGAUUCGUACCUUUAUAUGCAAUUUAAGACCGGUGGUGAUCAUUGAUGCUGCACACCUAAAGGGUGAAUUUAA